GCCAGGCAUGGUACUACAUGCCUGUAGUCCCAGCUACCUGGGAGACUAAAGCAGGAAAAUUGCUUGAGUCCAGGAGUUUGAGGCCACAGUGAACUAUGAACAUGCCACUGCACUCUAGCCUGGGCAACAGGAAAUAGAGUGAGACCCCAUCUCAAAAAAAAAAAAAAAAAGUUCACCAUCAAUAUGUUGACCUCCCAGGAGCAGGAGACCACUAGGUUGCCUAAGGAGAGGUUAAUCGGCCCAAGUCAGAAAAAGAGCAGGCCAAAAAUCCCAUGCUGAUGUGUAGUGGGCUAACACUUGUAAAGCCACUGUGCUCCACCCUGGGCAAUAUAACAAGACCUCAUUUCUU
rnacentral:SRP_RNA from 1 species